AAGGCGUAACGAUUUGGGCACUGUCUCAACAACAGACUCGGUGAAAUUGUAAUUCCGGUGAAGAUGCCGGAUACCUGCGACAGGCCGGAAAGACCCCAUGGAGCUUUACUGUAGCUUGACAUUGGGUCUUGGUACUACAUGUACAGGAUAGGUGGGAGGCUUUGAAACCAGGACGCCAGUUUUGGCGGAGCCAUCCUUGGGAUACCACCCUU
rnacentral:rRNA from 1 species